UAUAUCUAAAUCAGCUCGCAAAAGCUGCAGAUCUCUUGUCUGCAGAUAUAUAUUCAAAGACAAAAACACAAAUUCACAAGACAUUCAUUCUCAGACACACACUCAAAUUCUAUUUUACAGGCAAAGUGAUAAAGAGUUGUAAACACAUAUAUAAAACUGCAUUUUCGGAAACACAUACAUACUCACAAAGACACACAAAUAAUUAUUCAGAGACACACACUGACAGAAACAAAUACACAGUACCAUACACACAAUGCCACAUACACACACUUACUGUCAGUCAUUUAUUUCCCACUGCCCCCAUCCCCAGCUACAAAGAAGUCAUAGAGCAGGGGUCCUCAAACUCCGCCCCCCCAGAUGUUACUGAACUACAACUCCCAUGAUUUUCUGGCUAUCUAUGUAAUUCUAAGAAUCAUGGGAGUUGUAGUUCAGCAACAUCUGGGGGGCCGGAGUUUGAAGACCCCUGUCAUAGAGGAUGCAAUGCUUUUUGGGCUUACUGAACACAUGAACAGCUUGAAAAUGCAUCACCUAUAGCCAAGUUGCUUUAUGACAAAGUUGUUUUACCUCAAAUUUAUCCAGCCUUUUUUACUUAUGGAAAAGGCCGCAUAAACAGGAGAAGUGAAGGUAGCAAACUCUGUAUGUAGGUGUUUGAUAGGUUUGGCCAGCUGAAAAAAACACAAGUUUCCUGCGUCAUAAUCCAAAUAUAUUCCUAAAGCUUCAAUAGGAGAGCUGGUAGUCACUAAUGUUUUUACACCAUUGUUAACAACUGCAUAUUUACCCAUUUUAUAGUAACACAUGCACCAUGAAUCGUCAUUAUCUCCCAAAGUGCAAUCUUUGUUUUGUGAGUAAGACACUCCAACACUCCAACUUGGCAAGUCACUGGUUUCUACUUCCCAAUAAUGUUGUCCUGAUGAAAUGGCUGUGGAGCUAUAGGUCAGAGACGUACAAUGUUUUUCCUUAAGAUUCAUUGAUGAGUCCAGAAGGCUUCCAAGUUCAGAGGCAUUGCCUUCAGUCGGAUCAUUUGCGUUCCUCAGCAUUAUAUGGAUUAAAUUCUGCACUGCAAAACCAUGGUUUUUUUGAAGUUGUGGAAUACGUUGUAUUACCUUGAUUAGCCCAGACUCUAAAUGCACUGUUACCAAUAACACAUUCAAUCCUG